UUGGAGGGCAAGUCUGGUGCCAGCAGCCGCGGUAAUUCCAGCUCCAAUAGCGUAUAUUAAAGUUGUUGCAGUUAAAAAGCUCGUAGUUGAAUUUCGGGGUUCAUCCGUUGGUCGGGCUUUUUGGUCUGUACUGGCGUGAUGGAUUCCUACCUUCUGAAUAACCAGCAUGUCAUUAAUUUGGUGCGCUGGGGAAGCAGGACUGUUACCUUGAAAAAAUUAGAGUGUUUAAAGCAGGCUAUCGCCUGAAUACAUUAGCAUGGAAUAAUGAAAUAGGACGGCAUGGUUCUAUUUUGUUGGUUUCUAGGAUCACCGUAAUGAUUAAUAGGGAUAGUUGGGGGCAUUAGUAUUCAAUUGUCAGAGGUGAAAUUCUUGGAUUUAUUGAAGACUAACUUCUGCGAAAGCAUUUGCCAAGGAUGUUUUCAUUAAUCAAGAACGAAAGUUAGGGGAUCGAAGACGAUCAGAUACCGUCGUAGUCUUAACCAUAAACUAUGCCGACUAGGGAUCGGACGAUGUUAAUUUUUUAAUGACUCGUUCGGCGCCUUACGGGAAAC
rnacentral:rRNA from 1 species